ensembl:lncRNA
CUGAGACCAUCCCUGGUGGCACCUUUGUCAGAAGCAGAGUCUCACAGGGCAAUGGGGACCAAGGGCCGCAUAGAAGCCUGGACAGGUGUAACUGCUCUCCAGGGAUGCGGCUGUGAAAGAGGAGAGGACUCAGCUCACUCCAGAGCCGACGGAACUCAGAGAAGCAGAGUCGCCGGACCAAGCACUGCCCAAGAAGAGGGAUGGGGACCAGGCGGUGCCGGGCUACGGUGGUCCUCCGGGUGCCAUAAAUGCUAAAAUCACCCAUCUCCUGUAAUCCUGCAUCUGUGCUCUCAAGAGUGAGAUGGUUAAGUUCACCGCUUUGUGGAGCUGGCUGCGGAUGGCUUCUGUGUGGUCCUCUGUCCCGGGAGAAGAUAGAGCGCAGGCUGAUGGGAAGGCUCAGCCGGUGAAGACACUCGCUUCCACACCUGUGGCCUGAGUGCAAUCCUGGUGAGCUUCAUGGUGGAAGCAGAGAACUGACGCCAUAAGGAGUCCUCUGACUGCUACAUCUGUGCCUCGCACACUCUCCCAGUAACUAAAACUGUCAUUAAAACCUUAAAAGGGGCUGGAGGGAUGGCUCAGCGGUUAAGAGCACUGCCCGCUCUUCCAGAGGUCAUGAGUUCAAAUCCCAGCAACCACACGGUGGCUCACAACCAUCUGUAAUGGGAUCGGAUGCCCUCUUCUAGUGUGUCUGAAGACAGCGACGGUGUACCCACAUACAUAAAAUAAAUAA